GGGUUGUCAUGCCAAUGGCACUGCCCGGUAGCUAAAUGCGGAAGAGAUAAGUGCUGAAAGCAUCUAAGCACGAAACUUGCCCCGAGAUGAGUUCUCCCUGAGACUAUAAGUCUCCUGAAGGAACGUUAAAGACGAUGACGUUGAUAGGCCGGGUGUGUAAGCGCAGCGAUGCGUUGAGCUAACCGGUACUAAUGAACCGUGAGGCUUAACCUUACAACCCCGAAG
rnacentral:rRNA from 1 species